rnacentral:rRNA from 1 species
AUUGAACGCUGGCGGCAGGCCUAACACAUGCAAGUCGAACGGUAACAGGAAGAAGCUUGCUUCUUUGCUGACGAGUGGCGGGCGGGUGAGUAAUGUCUGGGAAACUGCCUGAUGGAGGGGGAUAACUACUGGAAACGGUAGCUAAUACCGCAUAACGUCGCAAGACCAAAGAGCGGGACCUUCGGGCCUCUUGCCAUCGGAUGUGCCCAGAUGGGAUUAGCUAGUAGGUGGGGUAACGGCUCACCUAGGCGACGAUCCCUAGCUGGUCUGAGAGGAUGACCAGCCACACUGGAACUGAGACACGGUCCAGACUCCUACGGGAGGCAGCAGUGGGGAAUAUUGCACAAUGGGCGCAAGCCUGAUGCAGCCAUGCCGCGUGUAUGAAGAAGGCCUUCGGGUUGUAAAGUACUUUCAUCGGGGAGGAAGGGAGUAAAGUUAAUACCUUUACGCAUUGACGUUACCCGAAGAAGAAGCACCGGCUAACUCCGUG